CAUCCAAUUAUCACAGUACGCUUUGUGCUAUGUUACUUGUGAUAUGAAACAAAGUCUGAUCUUUCAAAUUCUGUCAAAUUUAUCAUGAAAUUCAAACAAUAAAUUUGGUUUUGGUGCUCUUAAAUUGUUUCAACCGCAGAAAGACAACAAUAAAACAGCUGGUAAACAUUAUGUCACGGAAAGUCACAUUUACCUCAGAAAAGCCAUUCCAUGACCAUAAAAUCGAUAGUCACCUAGUAAAA